rnacentral:misc_RNA from 1 species
CCUGAGUUUACAGAACUCCCAAACCCAUUGUGAACCUACCUCAACGUUGCUUCGGCGGGGGGGCCUCACGGCCUCGGCGCCCCCCCGUGGCCGGACCAGGCGCCCGCCGGAGGACCUCCAAACUAUGUGUAUUACAGUGGCCUCUGUCUGAGGGGUAAGCUUAUAAAAUAAAUCA